ACUGGGUUGAUAGGCCAGGUGUGGAAGACCGGUAACGGUUGGAGCUGACUGGUACUAAUAGGCCGAGGGCUUGUCCUCAGUUG
rnacentral:rRNA from 1 species